CGGCGUCACGAGUGGCAAUCACAUUUAUUGGGUCUAAAGCGUUCGUAGCCGGUUUAGUAAAUCUUUUGUGAAAUUGUCGGGCUUAACCUGACAGCGUGCAGAAGACACUGCUAAACUUGAGACCGGGAGGGGUUAGAAGUAUUUCAGGGAGAGCGGUAAAAUGUUAUAAUCCCUGAAAGACUACCAAUGGCGAAGGCAUCUAACCAGAACGGAUCUGACGGUGAGGAACGAAGGCCAGGGGAGCGAACCGGAUUAGAUACCCGAGUAGUCC
rnacentral:rRNA from 1 species